rnacentral:rRNA from 1 species
UAGAGUUUGAUUCUGGCUCAGGAUAAACUCAAAUGGAUUGACGGGGAAAAGUUUGAUCCUGGCUCAGAAACUCAAAUGAAUUGACGGGGAGAGUUUGAUCCUGGCUCAGAAACUCAAAUGAAUUGACGGGG